AAACUCAAAAGAAUAGACGGGGACCCGCCCAACCCGUGGAAGAUGUGGUUUAAUANGAUGCAACGNGAAAAACCUUACCCACCUUUGACAUGUACGGAAUCCUUUAGAGAUAGAGGAGUGCUCGAAAGAGAACCGUAACACAGGUGCUGCAUGGCUGUCGUCAGCUCGUGUCGUGAGAUGUUGGGUUAAGUCCCGCAACGAGCGCAACCCUUGUCAUUAGUUGCUACAUUUAGUUGGGCACUCUAAUGAGACUGCCGGUGACAAACCGGAGGAAGGUGGGGAUGACGUCAAGUCCUCAUGGCCCUUAUAGGUGGGGCUACACACGUCAUACAAUGGAUGGUACAAAGGGUCGCCAACCCGCGAGGGGGAGCCAAUCCCAUAAAGCCAUUCGUAGUCCGGAUCGUAGUAUGCAACUCGAUUACGUGAAGUCGGAAUCGCUAGUAAUCGUGGAUCAGAAUGUCACGGUGAAUACGUUCCCGGGUAUUGUACACACCGC
rnacentral:rRNA from 1 species